GUUGCACUCUCUAAUAUUUGAUUUAAAAGUAAUCAAAAAGUGGAAACUGUAAGUUUUUUUUCGGUGAAUAGUGGAAACUGUAAGAUUAUGCAAUUGCUGAUGAACAAUUCAAAACCAAGCAUUAAUUCUUUUGUGUUCGAUGACAGUGAAAAAAAGGCAGAGCUGACAUUCAUUUAGUACUUCCAUAACUACUUCACCCUAUUUUGAAGACUCUGUAGGAGGAAAGGAGCUUAAUGAAAGUGUAAGAAAUUCAGAUUUACCAUUGUUUGGUAUAAAUAUUAUAGCUGCAGCAACAGGCAAUUUCUCUGAUGCUAACAAGCUUGGAGAAGGUGGUUUUGGCCCUGUGUAUAAGGGUAUGCUCUACAAUGGAAUGGAAAUAGCAGUGAAAAGACUAUCGAAGUAAUCCGGGCAAGGAAACGAAGAGUUCAAGAAUGAAGUUAUGCUGAUUGCAAAACUCCAGCACAGGAAUCUUGUGAGGAUUUUAGGUUGCUGUGUUCAAGAAGAGGAGAGGAUGUUAAUCUAUGAGUACUUGCCAAACAAGAGCUUAGAUUUUUUUAAUUUUUGGUGAAACAAAUAGGAAAUUGUUAGAUUGGAGAAAACGCUUUGACAUAAUCUGUGGAGUUGCGCGAGGGAUCUUAUAUCGUCAUCAAGAUUCAAGACUAAAAAUUAUCCAUAGAGAUCUAAAGGCCAGCAAUGUUCUACUAGAUGCUGAAAUGAUCCCCAAAAUUGCAGAUAUUGGUAUGGCUAGAAUAUUUGGAAGGGAUCAAAUCGAAGCAAAUACCAAUCGUGUGGUAGGAACAUAAUGUCUCCAGAGUAUGCAAUGGAAGGCAUGUUUUCAAUAAAAUCAGAUGUAUACAGCUUCGGAGUUUUGAUGUUAGAAAUUGUUACCGGCAAAAGGAACUCUAGUUACUAUAAUGAAAAAACAAACUUCAAUAUGGUUGGACAUGUUUGGGAACUGUGGAGAGAUGGAAAAUGCAUGGACAUACUCAACUCAACGUUGGACGAAGAAUUCGCUGAAGAAGCUUCGAGAUGUGUUCAAAUAGGGCUGUUGUGUGUGCAAGAGUACGCAUCAGAUCGGCCUAACGUUGUCAGCAGUAGUGUUCAUGUUGGGGAAUAAUAUUAUAGCGCUGCCUCAUCCAAAGGCACCAGCAUUCAUGAUGAAGAGAAGUUACACAAGCAGAGACCCAUCAACUAGUGAAGAAGCCACUUAUAUAAAUGAAGUGAAUUCUACUAUCGUUGAAGGUCGCUGAAGACUCCCUAUAGACUCUUAAUUAAGUUUUGUAUUUAGAUUUUAAUUAUAUGAUAUUUACACGUGUGUGUAUAUAUAUAUAUAUAUAUAUAUAUGUCCUACAAAUUCGACUAUUGCUUCUAAUUAAUCAUG